GGUGGCAUAUGAUUGCUUGAUGUUUCACUGUUACGAUCAGUGGGUUCAGAUGUCAUCAAUCGGAUUUAUGCAUUAUAAAGAUCCCCAUCAACCUUCCCCCUAAUAGUUUAACAUCUUUCAAGUUUGGAAUUCUGGUGUCCUCUACAGAGUACUGUACAAUAAACGUUCACAAGUGUGUUUCUGCCCACAGGUUCUCUGGAUAGAGGCUUCAGUUUGAGACUUUGGAGGCUAAAAGUACAGCUCAAAUGCCAGGGAUGGAGGUGAGCCUCCAAGGAAAUUGCAUCUCUGAAGAGAAGUUGCAGUCUGAAGAGAAGUUUUAGCUUUCAGCUCCUUUCAGCCAUCUUCUGAACAACUGUGUGGAGGAAAAGCCGGUUGUGCUGGAUCAGUCAACAGACAAAUAGGACAAAUCUGACCCAGAGGUCCGUAGAGCAUUGGCACUGGCAAGAUCAGAGAGAUGGUGGAAUUACUUGUGCUGAAGGAAUUCCAGACCCUCCUGAACAAGGAGUUUAAAAUUUGUCUCAAAACUCUGAAAAUAAUGAAGAGGCUGUGUCUCUGGAGGAUUUAACCCAAAUGAGGAGGAGAUAAGAAUGACUUACAGAAAGAAUAUACUAAUGAAAUAGGCUCAGAAGAAGGCAGUCUGCAAAGUAAAAUUAGGAAACAUCAUUUUUCCUUGCCCUUCUUUAGGCACAGGGUCAAUCCCAGGAUUCUCCUUUCCCUCAAAAUGGUGCCCAAAGGACAGAGGCUGGCCACCAUGCUUCUGAGUGCAAGGCACCAAGUGUUCCAUGUGACUAACUUCUAGUUGAUAUAUGCAGAAGUGUCAAGUGGCAGCUUCUGGGAAACUUUCCGAAGAAAUGGCUGAUAUGUGCCCUUCUUUACCCCUUCUGCCCUCCUGCAACCAUCUUGGAUUAUGAAGUCAAGUUCAUACAUGAUGGACCAACAAGAUAGAAGACCCUGGGUCGCUGACACUUUGGAAUGCCGUGGCAGCCCUCACCACCUACCUAGACUUUUUGUGUGGUUCCUGGUUGAGUCACUGUUAUUUUGAGGUUUUGGUUAGUUGUAACAUAACUGAUUCUUAAUUAAUGCAAGUGUAUUUCCAAAAAACUGAAUAGUACAAUCAGAUGCUAAGAAAUGAGGGUAGUCACUAUCCCACGUGAGGAACAAGGAGAAACUCAGCUGGUAGAAAUAAAGGAGUUGUGCUAGGAAAUAAGACUAAAUUACGUGAUAGUCUAGUUUGGGACAAAGAAAGCACUAAUGGCCCAGCUAAGUAAUUUCUAAUUUAUCUUGCAUAUAAAGGAAAGCCAGUGGAGUAUUUUUUAAAAGAAAUAGGCCAUGGUGAACGUAAUGUUUGAAAAUGAAAUUGUAACUGAAUGGAUAUAUGAGGUAAAAGAAAGUGAAGAAUUGAAAAUGAUGUGCUGGCAUCCUUGAGAAACGGAGCCCUGAGGAAGAAGGGACAUAUUUAAGAUUGAGUUAGUUCUGAAGGUAUUGCUUUUGAGAUGAUAAGAACAUGCAGUGAGUGUGGUUUAUGGGUAACUGAAGAUUCAGAACUAGAGCUUGAGGUGUCAGUUCUUUAUUUAGGGGAACAGUGCUAAAGCUGAAACAAAAAGAAUAUAGAGAGAAUUAUCACACCCAAGGCCUGAGCUUUGAGAAGUACUCCUAUAAAAAGCAUAAAAGGUAGAAGGUAUCAUGAAAGAAUCAGAGCAAUAGAAAAGCUAGAAUAAAAGGAAAGGAAAUGCAUGGACAAGGAGUGGGUUUCAUGGUAUGAAGGAUGUCAUCAAAUCCAGCAGAAAAGUUGAAAAGAAUGAGGACAAAGAUAGUGGGUUUAGGUAUAGAAAAGGAAGUAAUUGUGAUCUCAAAGACUGAGUCUCAAAUAUAGCCUGGCAAAUCUAAAGAUUUCCAGUUCUACAAAGAAGGAACUUUUCAGUCUCCAAAAAAAGAAAUCCUAGCAGGCUGCAAUGUGUAGUUAGAGAUUAAAGUAUAGUUGAAAAGUAUAGUAGCUUUUGUAGUUUGUCCCAAGUUUGUCUCAAGCUUGUCCCAAGGUUAUUUAUGUAGUCAGUGAGACCAUUUACUCUCAGUGAGGGUAGGGUAUGGAGGAAAUUGAAGAAAAAUCUGAAUAAUACCCACCAGAGGAGGGAAUAACCUAGGGAGUCCAUGUAAUAUGAAUAACGGCAUUGUCUAACAGAAGUGAGGGAUAUAUUGAAGAUGGUCUGAGAGACCUUUUAUUUAUUUAUUUUUAUCAAGUCAGUAUAUCAGUUGAGAAUGCUUUUGUCUACAAAUAAC